rnacentral:rRNA from 1 species
GGGUCAGUAGGUUGGUCGUGCCACCGGUACGUACUGCUCUCACUGAUUCCUCCUUCCUGAAGAACCGUAAUGCCAUUAAUUUGGUGUUGCGGGGAAACAGGACUGUUACUUUGAAAAAAUUAGAGUGUUUAAAGCAAGCUAACGCUUCAAUACAUUAGCAUGGAAUAAUGAAAUAGGACGAUCGAUCCUAUUUUGUUGGUUUCUAGGAUUGACGUA